rnacentral:lncRNA from 1 species
UUAACCCUUCAUGUUAAUCAUUUGAGACCAUGUAUUAACCAUAAAAUGAGUUCGACUCUGAUUGAGGCAGGGUUCAAAGCUUUUGAAAGGUAAUGCAUAGAACUACCUUAUGGUAAUUGUUCUUAUGUUUUUUUUCUAUUCCUCAAUGAUGUCGAAAAUGAUUAAUUGUGUAAGUCUAGUCUUCAAUGAGUACGUGUGUAAUUGUUGGUUGCGGUAAAGCAGCAAGCAAAAGUAAGUAUUUUGUUUUAUCCUCUCCACAGGGAUUAG